rnacentral:lncRNA from 1 species
ACUGACCCACAAGGCACAAGGGAACAAAGUUAAACUAAUUUCAAAUCCAUCAAAAUAUCAACAUAGUCGACAACCAUAGACAACAUUUUGUUCUUCAGAACCUUAGUAAAUAAAAAUUCAUGAAUUCAAAUCCAAUGAUUGCACGACAAAUGUAUACACGACUAUUGUCAAAUGCUUACAAGGCUAAAGGGAAGGGGAUGCUCUGCAUUAAUUUACAUUUCCUUAGCUACAAUUAUCUCUUCAUUAGGAUUAGCUUCUAAAGUCCCACAUCCUUCAAUUGAACCUCUUUAAUUGGUAAAAUAUCUACAAAAUGCUAAUGAGUGAGAUUAGUGACAACUUGUUCAGUAAGUAGCUCAUGUACUUCUUUAUUGGUUUGAGCGCGUUAUCACAAAUGUACUUCAGUAAGUAGCACAUGUACUUCUUUAUUGGUUUGGGCACAUUACUUCUUUAUGUGGUCAUAAUAAGCGUUUCAAAUGCAAAGCACGCAUCACAAAGUUUAUAAUCAUAAAUGAUCUCAAGAUAUAAAGUUAAUCAUUGACCCUAGAUAUUCAGUUGUUAACUUGAACUAUUAACAGGGUUUAUAAUGCUAACUAGCAUAUGGUUAGUCUGUUUUAUAUUGCUAACUAUAAGACGGUUAGCCCAUUUUAUAAUAUCAUAAUACCAACUACCAUAUGAGGAACUACUUCCGUCAAAAGUCACUGUAUACAAGAGCUCAAUCACACAAGUCAUUUACUUAUUCACAUUUGACCACAAUCAUGCACUCAUAGUAGAUCAAUAGGUACAAGUUUGGCUACAGGUCAGGGGUUCAAACUUCUGCACCUGUAGUAAACUCCAAAAGGUGUAGUAGUAGUGCAUCCCUUUGAUCUAGAGUUGGGACCCUCUCCCUUUAGCCUCCCUUGGCCCAGUUGGGCCCUGCCCUAAUGUAGGUUAGAGCAGGAGUAAGAGUUGCUGAUUAACAAAAAAAAAGUAGAUCAAUAACAUAUACACACACACACACAUGCCACUUUGAUAUAUAAAUUAGCUUUCAAAGUUAUAAGAGUUUGAUAAAUGUAUUUUCAAAAGAUAAGGAGUACAUGCACUGCUUACCUUCACCAACCGAGCUAGCAUCUAACUCAACUAUGGACCAUCUCAAUAGAAAUCAUUUCUUACCUAAACAUAUUAAAAAUCCUUAGUUCAAACUCUAAAACCUCUUACGUAUUCUAAUUUAUCACAAAAAGGACCCUAGACACCACCCUUAGGUAGUAACGUAUGGCAAAGGUCAUAAACUAGUUUAAAUGAAACGCAUAGAUUAACUUUAAUCCUUCACCGACAUCCAUAGAUACCAAAUCAGGGUCAUAUGCUUAUACAUAUUUAAAGCUCUCUAAAUCUAGUUUCCAGCGCCACUAAAUGGCAUACAAUUCCGAGAUUCCUAUGCAAAGAUAUGGCCAAUUUACUAAAGUGUGACUGUGUUGUGAGCCGAAUCUGGCCCAAGGAUGCAUGAGGGAUCCAGCAACGGAUUCAAGGGAUGGGUUUGAGGUAGAAUCGAGUUCCAGUUUCGGUUUUCAAGUUCUAUUUCCACCUAAAUCAUCUCCAACCCUCCCUAAUUAUCAAAAUCAACAUUUUUGCAUACCACAAUCAUAUUAUUACAUAAAUAACUUGGAAACAAGGUAUUAAACCCGAAUCAUGCAAUUUUCAUCAAAAUGACCCAUUUUCAUUUCAAGACAAAUAUAAUCAACACACACAAGUAGAGACUAAAACCAACUCCAAACUCUACAUCCAAGAACUCUAAACCAAGGAUUUAGAGCUAAACACAACCCAAACAUGAUCAACCACCAUAAAUCUUAACUUUAAACUUCAAAGGACGAUAAAUACUUAACCAAAUCUCAAGAUCCAAGAAAACCAACCGAAAAUCCACCAUAUUCAUAACUCAAUUUAACAACCAAAAACCCAACCCAAAUUAAAUCAUAAAUAAACUGAAAAAACAACUUACUUACCUUAGCUAACAGACAAAAACCGGUACACUAGCUUCUCUCUUGCAUUUGCAUUGAAAUCCCUAAACUCUUACUUUGAGAACUUUAAAAGGAAAUGGAAACCUUUAGAGGAAAAGAAGCUAAAGGAAGAUGAACAAGCCGCCAUUUGGUCAUAGGAAGAAAAGAAAGAAGAAAUAUCUUCUUCCACUGACAAUUCAAAAUUACAUAACAAUCCUCCAAUUUCUUGUCACUCUGAAUUUCAUCCUAAAGUACAUAAUUCAUACCAAUGCCCCUGCAGAAAAUACAUGGGGUAUCAC